GCAACUUCUGGUGUGAAGACAAAAUGAUAGUUUAUUGUGUUGUGAGGAACGCCCAUCCUGUCCUUCACAAGGAAGGUGCCCCAAUUCCAAGACCUCUUCAAAACAGCGGUUCCGGUCCAUUUAAAUGCAAACAUGACAGCGGUUGUGAGACAGGAUUCAUUUGCUGCCACGACAACUGCCUUGGACACAAAGUCUGCAAAAUUGCUGAAGUUGGAAGCUCUUAGGAUACAGCACUGAUCAAGACGGAUGUUCAACAGGAUUUUCAAAACAGGCUUUGUUUUUAACUGAUAACGUUACUGCUUAGUACCUUUUAAUACUAGAGUCACUUUUCAACCAUUGUACUGUAUUCCUGUUAGAGAAAAAGUAAAUAAAAAAAUGUGAUG